rnacentral:misc_RNA from 1 species
AAGUCGUAACAAGGUUUCCGUAGGUGAACCUGCGGAAGGAUCAUUAUCAUAACGUAUCCACGUAUAAACCAACUCAUUUAAUUGAUGUGAAACGUAACUGUUUUUAACACCAAACAAACAAAAAAAAGAGAGAGGAUGAAAAUCCAAACUCUUUUUUUUUGGUUCUUUGGUUGUAACAUUUAUUAAUUAUUUACCCAUUGAACCGAUUAACUAUUGUUAAAUUAAUAGUUUUUCAUUCUAAUCUAUUGUGUGAACUGAAUUGUCUCUUACUCUGAUAACCGUAAUUGGUUGGAAGAGAAGUGAUCUAUAUUUACGAAACAUUAUAAAUUUCUAUGAACAACUCUUAGCAACGGAUAUCUUGGUUCUC